rnacentral:rRNA from 1 species
GAUGAACGCUGGCGGCGUGCCUAAUACAUGCAAGUCGAGCGAACGGACGAGAAGCUUGCUUCUCUGCUGUUAGCGGCGGACGGGUGAGUAACACGUGGAUAACCUACCUAUAAGACUGGGAUAACUUCGGGAAACCGGAGCUAAUACCGGAUAAUAUUUUGAACCGCAUGGUUCAACAGUGAAAGACGGUCUUGCUGUCACUUAUAGAUGGAUCCGCGCUGCAUUAGCUAGUUGGUAAGGUAACGGCCUACCAAGGCAACGAUGCAUAGCCGACCUGAGAGGAUGAUCGGCCACACUGGAACUGAGACACGGUCCAGACUCCUACGGGAGGCAGCAGUAGGGAAUCUUCCGCAAUGGGCGAAAGCCUGACGGAGCAACGCCGCGUGAGUGAUGAAGGUCUUCGGAUCGUAAAACUCUGUUAGUAGGGAAGAACAUAUGUGUAAGUAACUGUGCACAUCUUGACGGUACCUAAUCAGAAAGCCACGGCUAACUAUGUG